AGCAGCCGCGGUAAUUCCAGCUCCAAUAGCGUAUAUUAAAGUUGUUGCAGUUAAAAAGCUCGUAGUUGAAUUUCGGGGGUCAGUAGGUCGGUCGUGCCACUGGUAUGAACUGGUUUACUGAUUCCUCCCUCUUGAAGAACUGUAAUGCCAUUAAUUUGGUGUUGCAGGGAAUCAGGACUGUUACUUUGAAAAAAUUAGAGUGUUUAAAGCAGGCUUUAGCUUGAAUACGUUAGCAUGGAAUAAUGAAAUAGGACGUUUGAUCCUAUUUUGUUGGUUUCUAGGAUUUGACGUAAUGAUUAAUAGGGAUAGUUGGGGGCAGUUAGUAUUCAAUUGUCAGAGGUGAAAAUUCUUAGGAUUUUAUUGAAGACUAAACUACUGCGAAAGCAAUUUGCCUAAGGAUGUUUUCAUUUAAUCAAAG
rnacentral:rRNA from 1 species